GCUCAUUUGUAGCGUGAAACCACGCAGCUCCUCCUCUGGCUGCCACUGUGCUCCUGCUUAUAGGGCAGCUACUCAGCUCAUCUGUGUUUACCCUAAAGAUGGGGGGCAGGCGUAACCUUUCUGUACACCCAGCGUGAAGUGGCUUACCCCUCCGUGAAACUCAGGUGAGCUGCUUCUCUGCCGACUGCAAACUGGGAGCAUCUUCACGGGGAACUUUUCCGCUGAAAUCAAAGUGAAACUUCACCCUGGGCUUUCUUAUUGCUGCCUCCUGAGUCACCACAUCCUUCUCUUGUCACCACCACCUUUCUGUUUAGAAAGUGAUAAUGAGACGCAGUGUUCAGCAGUGAGAACUGGGUCUGUGUGCGAGGAAUGAAUUUACAGAGGGGUUAAAAUUCGCUCUUUGAAAGCAGAGAGCACCAAAAGGUCCACCUGGGGAGUCAGUUGUUGGCGUGCUGCAGUUUUACAGUGCUUCCCUACAUUUCUUGUGGAGACAAGCCCCAAGGAAUCUGAAGACUUGGCUUAUUUUCCUGAUCCUGCAACAGAUCCUGCCUUGCCCGGCUAUGGGUAAGUCUUUUAGGUGCACAUUUUCAAGCGCAGGCUUUAAUUUUAGCCCUCUGGCUUAAGAUAUCCAGAAUCUGUCCUGCGUGUGUAUUAAUCUCUUACAGCUCCAGCCAAAAUUAGCAGAAGCUGCCUGUACACAAAGGUGCACAGAAAAUUAGAUGCUACUUAGGAAAACAAGGCCUGCCCUGUCUUACUCAGCUUGCUUAUGUGUUUAGUGGGGAUGAUAACACCUGUCCAGCUGCGGAGACAUCAGGCUAAAUUAAUUAAGGUUAGCAAAGGAUGUGAAGCAAUUAAUUAGUUUUUGCAGAGUUGCUUGCAUGUGUAGAGGAGAAGAGCUCUUUGAGCACCGUUUCUCCUGCUUUGGUCUUUCUAUUGGAUUCAAAUGAGGAUAAACAUUACCUCCUUCACAGAAAGCUCAGCUAAAUGUUAUGUGCCCGUGAAGAGUUUGGUUUUACUUGGAAGGAGUAGGGCAUGAGAUUUUGGUUCCUCUCACUUGUUUAUGAGCAUGAAUUUACUACACAUAAAUCACUGCAGGUCAGAACAUUGCUGUUGCCUUAACACAAAGUAAGAGAGCACAGAAUCACCCUUUAAUGUUGUGCAAUUGGACAGGAUUUGGCUUGUCCUCAUUUUGUGUUUGGAGAACUCGGGCUGCCCUUUGUGCUCGAUGUUCUACCUCUUUUUCUCUUGAAGGUCCAGUGGAGAAAUCCGACUGGGCGCGUUUGCAUCACUCACUCACUGCCUGUUCUUUGUCUGUGUGCAGUGUUUUGCUGAAAUUAAAGCACAGCUUUCUUCUCUUUGCUCACUGUGGGAUUUCCCGGUGUUUCACAAGGCUGCCGUUUGAUGAACAUUUCAAGCUGGCACUGAUGCUGAAAGAAAGAGUCAUGUUUUCUUUAUACCUGUUCCCUUGUAUCUAGUCCAGCGUGCACGUGGAUGUAAGAUGGACCAGAUCAGGGAGGGAAUCUGGCUCAGAAAAUAGCUGUUUCUGUCUUGUAAUCACAUUUGUUUUAUGUGGUUCCCUUUCAUGACAGGGCUUAGCAGCAGGGCAAAGAAGAGGAGCUGGGAAGAGAAGGAGGAGAGGCCAGGCUUCUCCAGGUGGAGAGCCUUGCUGUUUCCCACCCCGUGUCUCUUUGUCUCUCACUCUACUAUCUCCUGGAGUUGGCAACAAGUUAAUGUGACUCGGGAGCCAGAAGAGUUCAGCUCAAAGCAGCUGCAGAAAAAAAGCAUCCUGCUGCAGAAGAGCCAAUGGCCCUGGGAACAGACUGCUUUUAUAAAAAGCCUUACGAGAGCCAGAUGCCCCCUACCCUGACAAAGACUGAUCAGGUGGCUGCUGGUAUCGCCUUUCACUGCUCUUUGGCAAGGGUGGAAACACAGAAUGAUGGGUGCCAUGGAUUUAUGCUUUGUGAGAGGUCAGGUCAGAUCAUCAGCAUGGAAAAUAAAUCCAUUGGAUGUAUCUCCCGGGGGGUGCAGGAGGCUGUGCUGCAAGUCUCUUGGCACGGGGCAGUCCCCCAGCACUUCCCCACCCGAGCGGCCGCAGCAGGUGAUCCGCGGAGGAAGAGGAGGAUGAAGCCCGGCGUGCGAGCCAGCCCCGCCGGCUGCCGAGUGCCACCAGAGGGUGCUGCGCCGUACCGCCGGCCGGCAGGGACGGAUGGGAACGGGAGGGAUGCGAGAGGGACGCGGGAGGCUGCGGCCCCAGCCAGCUCCCUGCCUGCCAGCUCCUGCUGUGGUUGCCAGGCUGCUUGGUUUGGUUGCCCCGCAGCUAGCUAGUUCCGUCUGAUGGACCUCAGCUCCCUCUGGAGAAAACAAACGUUUGUGGCCGUGUUGAUGUGCAAGGAGGAAAACAUCGACACCGCAGAUAACGUGGUUGGUACGUCUCGAGACAGCGUAUGUAGAAGACAGCAUUUAAAAGGGUUGGUUUAUUAACUUUGCGCUCCCGUGCCGUAACCAGCCGCCCUUUAGGGAGACAGAAUUAGCCUCUCUUUAGCAGAAGGCAUCACAUCCCUCUGCUUAUGUCCCGUGCCGCUGCUCCCCCCAGCAGCCGCACUCCUCGGUGCCUGCUGUCCCACACGUCCGGGGCUGCUGUACAGAGCGCUCCUUAUACAGACGUCUCUUGGCAUGGAGGCGCUCCCCGGGAGCACGACUGUAGGUUGAAAUUCUGCCUUCUUGGAAUAAGCAAAUGCCAGGGGUUUAUUUCCUAUUAAGCUAGCAGAUAGUUUGUGCAUUUAGCCGCAGUUUGCUGUCUCCAACCAGAUACGGGUGGAUCCUUCUUGUUUUCCUUCCUCUUUAUAUUUCCAGCCUGGGAAACAGCAAAAAGUUUGUGCAAAAGCAACAUCUGUGGGAGAGAGAGAGAGAAAAGGAUGAGGCAGGCUGGCCCGGCAGCCAGCCUCAGGAGAUGUUGUAACUUAAAAAUGCUGACUCACUGGCACUGUGUGCCAACACAAAUGUUGCUGCGGAAAUCAAUCAUCAUGAGAGCCUGGCGAGAUAUAACCCCACAGUGGCGCAGGCUUUGAAUGGGCCUCUUUGGUCAUUCCAAGUUUCUUCUUCAGACAAUUCGCCCGGAAACUUCCUUCUUGUCAGGUUUUCCAGAUCCAAAACCACAGAACUGCUGGAGAUUCCUUGACGUGUACACGGGCAAAACAGAGCAAGCAAGAGUACUGGUCAUCCUUGCUGGCCAUUCUGUUUCUGAACUGGGCCAGAAUGAAGCAUCCUACCUUAACAACAGUCCAAAACUCUGCUGGAAUUUGGACUAGCAUCCAAACUCAAGGCACAGGCUCUUCUCUAAAUAAAAAUAACUCAAUCACAAGCUAUUUUGGGGUGGUGACUUUCAGACAAGAAAUGUAGGGCUUACACAGGUUUUUACUUCUGUCAAAUACAUCUGGAUGCUGUACUCCUUCCUGCCGAUACUCUGAACUUGCUCUCUUCAGCUCAGAGCCAAAGAACUCCAACUGAAAGCUAGAAAUGGUAGAACAACUGAUGUUACUCAAG
rnacentral:lncRNA from 1 species